rnacentral:rRNA from 1 species
CGCAGCAGUCGCGAAAACUUCACACUGGGGGCAACCCCGAUGAGGGAAUUCCUAGUGCAUGCAUUAAAUGUAUGCUUUUCUUUAGUAUAGAACGCUAAAGGAAUAAGGGCUGGGAAAGACGGGUGCCAGCCGCCGCGGUAAUACCCGCAGCCCGAGUGGUGGUCGAUAUUAUUGAGUCUAAAACGUUCGUAGCCUGUUCAGUAAAUCUUUGGGUAAAUCGGUGAGCUUAACUUACCGAAUUCCGAGGAGACUGCUGAACUUGGGACCGGGAGAGGCUAGAGGUACUUCUGGGGUAGGGGUAAAAUCCUGUAAUCCUAGAAGGACCACCGGUGGCGAAGGCGUCUAGCUAGAACGGAUCCGACGGUGAGGGACGAAGCCCUGGGGCGCAAACGGGAUUAGAUACCCCGGUAGUCCAGGGUGUAAACGUUGCAGGCUUGGUGUUGGAGGCCCUCCGAGGGCGUUCAGUGCCGGAGAGAAGUUGUUAAGCCUGUUACUUGGGGAGUACGUCCGCAAGGAUGAAACUUAAAGGAAUUGGCGGGGGAGCACCGCAACGGGAGGAGCGUGCGGUUUAAUUGGAUUCAACACCGGAAAACUCACCAGGAGCGACGGUUACAUGAAAGUCAGGCUGAUGCCCUUACUCGAUUUUCCGAGAGGUGGUGCAUGGCCGUCCGUCAGUUCCUACCGUCAGGCGUUCUCUUAAGUGAGAUAACGAACGAAACCCUCACUACUAGCUGCCACCGAUCCUUCCGGGGGUCGAGCUACACUAGCAGAACCGCUGACGCUAAGUCCGAGGAAGGAGAGGUCAACGUAAGGUCAGUUUGCCCCGAAUCUCCUGGGCUACACGCGCGCUAUG